rnacentral:antisense_RNA from 1 species
CCCUUUGGCAACAAGGAAGCAGAAAAGACAAAAGUUAUUUGCCAGCCUGGUACGGGAAUCAAUAGAAUUGAGAGAUGGUUCUGCUGCAAUUUCCAUCAAGGGUGGCCAAGCCUCCUGUCUUCUUGUCCAGAAGUAAGUGGCAUCAACCAACUCUGCCAAACUGCAUUUCCUGCCUCCUCAUCUGGGGUCUUUUCCUUUUUUCACACCGGGAGCAUUUCCAUCCUCUCUGUCCAGGCAGCUGAGCCCUGACAACCUCUCCUCCCCUUCACCAUGCCCCGACUGAUCUCCUAAUGGAGCCCCACCCCUCGAGCCCCUGGGCCUGUGGAAGAGUCCGUGAGACCAGAUGCUACAGCAAAUGUUCCAGAGAAAUGAACCUAGAAAAUGAUCCCGGGGCGCUCCUUGCGGGGGAACACAGGAUUCCUCAGCUCUAUCUCUGUGGCUUUAACAUACAUCAGUUUCAGGAAUCUCCAGCCUCAACAGAGAUAAAUGCCAGCCAACCCAGCUCCCUGGCACCCCCACCUGGUCCUGCAAGAACAGCUGACUGGCCAUCUGCACGAUCUGGUCCACGUGGAUGAUGCCCCCGAUGCUGGUCAUCUCCGUGUCUGAGAGCAGCGUCAGCACCAUGAUGGCUUCCACCAGCAGCUGCCGGUA